UACGUAGGGUUCGAGCGUUAAUCGGAAUUACUGGGCGUAAAGCGUGCGCAGGCGGUUCGCUAAGGCCGAUGUGAAAUCCCCGGGCUUAACCUGGGAACUGCAUUGGUGACUGGCGGGCUAGAGUAUGGCAGAGGGGGGUAGAAUUCCACGUGUAGCAGUGAAAUGCGUAGAGAUGUGGAGGAAUACCGAUGGCGAAGGCAGCCCCCUGGGCCAAUACUGACGCUCAUGCACGAAAGCGUGGGGAGCAAACAGG
rnacentral:rRNA from 1 species